GAACCGUUACUCAGAAGAAGUUACCAACCAAUGCCGAAUGCACGUCGAAGAGACGCAUGUCUUCACGAUUGAACAAAACCCAAGAUGUUAAGAAGAAAGGUAAAGUUACUUCUGGGAGAAAGGAGAUGGUCAAGAAUAGGACUAAGGGAAAUGCUGCCUUACCCGUCGACACAAGUGAUCAUAUUGGAUGUUCUUCAUCUGCUCAUAAAGUUAAGGGGAAGAGAGCCGCCAACGUUCAGAAAAAGCUUAACCGUAGAAAUAAGAUUGCAAAGACUGCAAA